ACUUGUCUAGCUCAAUUGGUAAAAUACAAGGCUUUUAAACUUGUGGUCGUGGGUUCAAAUCCCACAGUG
rnacentral:tRNA from 1 species